CCUGUAGCUCCUGAUGCUUUCGUACCUUCUUCUGUCACUUCAAUCUUUGCUUUAUGAAUAGCUUCUGAAAUGUAAAGCCCGCCUUGCUCUAACAAACCAACCAAAACCUUUCAACAUCAACAAUACUUCUGAUAAAGCCAGGCUAUUGCAUUCAGCUAUGCUGAACUCCAGUCAUAAGGCACGCUGUAGAUUGACAGAUAUUUCCAAGUCUUCCCUCCAGCUUCCAUCAGGAGUCUGAACACUGACAUGGUUCCAGGAACAAAUAGACAUGUCAGCUGAAGUCAGUUCUCUGAAGAUCUUUUGAUUCCAUGUUCUGAUGACUUUUUUUUUAUUUACUGACUAUCAGAGUGGAUCUUCUGCAGCUGUACCUGUCUAUUGAUUAAAUACAGAUUUGUAUACACUACUUUAAACCAG